rnacentral:rRNA from 1 species
CAGUAGGGAAUCUUCCACAAUGGACGAAAGUCUGAUGGAGCAACGCCGCGUGAGUGAAGAAGGGUUUCGGCUCGUAAAACUCUGUUGUUAAAGAAGAACAUAUCUGAGAGUAACUGUUCAGGUAUUGACGGUAUUUAACCAGAAAGCCACGGCUAACUACGUGCCAA